rnacentral:lncRNA from 1 species
UUUUUUGUUUUUUUUUUUUUAAAGUUUCCAAUUAAAAAAAUCUUGGAAAGUAGCUGACCUAUAUUUACUGUAACCAUAUUUUCCAAAUAAAAUUCCAGACACAUGGUCUGAUAAGUAUGUGCACACUGCCCACACUACUUAAAAAUAAAGUGCAUUGUUUUUUUCCCCUGCUUAAAAAAAAAAUCCAUGUUAAUUUUAGAGAUUAAAGAAAGGUCAAAGAAAAAACAAAAUAUCUGCAAUCCCAUCACCCAGAAAUAACCACUAUUAACAUUUUGAUCCAUACUUUUCUUAACUUUUUGCCUCUGACAGAGGAUAAUUUGUCAUCCAGUUGAGUAAAUACUGUAUUAUACAUAACAUAUAUGAUUAUAUAUGUAUAAUAUAUAUAAUUUUUCAUCCUGAAUUUUCUAAUUAGAGCUAUGUCACAAGGAUUUUCUCAUGUCACUGAAGAUUCUGUGUAAAUCUUAUUUUUAAUAGCUGUAUAGUAGUCUAUCUUUCCAAAUGUCAUUAAUUAUAUUUACCCACUACACAUAUCACUGAACAUUUAAAUUGCCACCAGUUUUCUUGCUAUUAUUAAAAAUACUAUUAAAAAUUGUGAUAAAUAUUCAUAUAUAUCUUUGUUCACACUUCUGAAAAUGUCCAUAGAAUAUCCAUGAAGCAGAAAUACUGCAUAACAGGAUAAAAUCUUUUAAAAUCUGUCCAUAAACAUCACCAACUUUUUUUAUGGAGACAUUGUACCAACUUACACUUAAUACUUGUUUCUGAAGACAACUAUGAGAAAUUUUACAUUAACACUGCUUCAGAAAAUUUGGAAGUUUUUCAAAUGUUUAUCGAGUACUUAAGUUCCAGACACUGUGCUAAGUGCUUUAUAUGUACUGUCAUUUACUCUUUACAAAAGUGCCAUGACCAAGGACAAGACACUAUUAUGAUUCCUAUUUUUCACACAAUUAAACUUUGGUGACUAGCCCAACUUAUAUAGCCAAUUCCUCAUAAAGCUAAAAGUGCAUGGCAAAACAGAGUCAAUGUAGAAUGUGUUGGUUUUGUUUUAUUUUUUUUAACUCCAACCAUCGUACUACUCCAGAGGCUUCUACAGCAAGGGUGCCAGCUAAGAGUGUUUGAGAGGAUCACUAACGGUUUAGAGAGGGCCUAGGGCUUAUAUCAGCAAGUACAGCCCUAGGACAGAAGCUGAUGCAUGGGCUUAGAACCCUAUGUGAUGAGGCCAAGAACACCCCUGGUCAAUGCCAUGCUAUAUGUGAUACUGGUAAGCUUGGGAGUGACCAAGAAAAAGGACACUGAGGUGAGCCGGAAUGACUUACCUGGUAAGUUUUGAGCCCAUGUAAGAUUCUGGGAGCUCCUCAUGCAAUAGAAUGGGAUUUCACAGAAGGAGAGCAAAGUACUGUGGUCUCAGAAGCUUACUAAUGAAUGCUUAGGACCUUGCAGUUCAUCAAACUAAACAUCAUCACAUAGAGAAAGAUGGUUUUCAUCUUUGAGUUGACAUAGGGCUGCCCAGCAUAUUUUGCACACUGUUCAAUGCUGAGGGCAUCAGUCAUGACCCAAGGGGUGUAUGGGGUCAAAACCCAGCCCAAGCUCUAAUGGCCAACAAGGGUACCUAUGAACUGUAUCUGCCUCCCAUUGUGUCUGUGACCUCAUGUGCUACUCCUCCCCACCUGCUCUCACAUAUCUAGCAACACUGGCUCCCUCACUGCCCCUCCGAGGACUGCAUUCCAGUCUCAGGAACUCCGCUCUGGCUGUUCUCUCUGCCUGGAAAGCUUUGCCUGAUCUCCCUCUUCAUGUCCUUUCCCAAGUAUUUCCUUCUCAAUGACCAUCCCAUGAACAAUUAUAAUUCCCAAUACUCCCCAACAGCCUCCCUCCAGGGGGGACAGUGAUUUUUGUUUGUUUAGUUUGCUGAUCUGUUACAAGUGCCUAGAACAUUCCUAGCAAAGAGCUCUCAAUAAAUAUUUGUUGAAUUGAAUGAAAUCACUAAAUGGGUGAACUGUGGAGAUGACAGUCUUGCUUCAGAUAUUUUCACAAUGAGAACACCAAAAGGCUGAGAGGGAAACUGACUUUAUCCAAGGCCACUGGUAGGUGUUUUUUCCCCAAGGUGCCCUUGCCUUGGAGCCCUCCAACUUAGCUGAAAUAAAACCCUUCCACAAUGAGGCCAACCCAUGAAGACUAGAUCCAAUCAAAGCAAUUGAUAAAAGGUAUGAAUGACGACUAAGCAACGCCCUUCUAGGGUAUAGGCUUCACAUGAAUCUCCAGUUGAAGGAGAAUCUCUUUCUGGGCAUCAAGCAGACUAUAUACUCUCUCCUUUCCAGCCUUCUCAAGAGCAACUGUCUAACAACAACAAAGCCACCAAGAAGCCAGGUCCCUCGAAUUUAUCUUGCCUAAUAGAUCAAGUCUGUCCAUGACCCAUUUUUUCUCUUUUUCAAGUAGCUGGACACUGGAAGAAAUCAUUCCCAGCAGCAGGACAAAGAGAACUGCUCUAAGGGAUAAUCAAACUACAACUCAUUACAAAUGCCCAAUGUCAUAAACACUUCUCUGAAAUAUUUCCCUCUUCCCUCACAAGCAUGUACAGAGAACAAACACAGACAAUACAUAAUUUUGGAGCAGAUUUCUUUUUUCCAUGAUCUCUGCUCUCUUUUAACGAGCAAUUUGUUGUAUAUGUUAGCUUAAAGUAAAAUAAAAUCCUGGCAGUGAUCAUCAAAAUUGAGAACCCCAAAUGUAAAAGCUACCUCUUAAUAAGUGUGUAUUCUGGGAUUUCAAAUACAAGGUCUACAGACCCUUGAGAGAUCUUUAUAUGGAAUUUAGUGGUCUGUGAGUUAGUGGGCUAAAAGCUGUAUACAAACUUUUGUGGGUACAUGAAGAUACAUGCAUCUGUUGGUGAUCUCUUGUAAGAUUCUCAAAGGGAUGGUUCCCCCAAAUUACCGUUGAUUUUGACCCACUCAAAUGGGUGAUAAUCAAACUUAACUGCAGACUGUACAAUGCAAAAUUUGUGAUAAUUAAUUAUAUUUGACAUUAAUGCUUUCUCUUUUGAGGGUUGCCAUUAUCAAGACACAUGUUCUAGCUAAAUAAACACUUGGUUUGGGAACAUAAGCAGAGUGUAAUAAAUUAAUUUCCUAAUUAUUAUUCCUUGCUGAUGAUAAAAUUUUCCAUCUGGUCUUUAACCAUAUCUCCCUCUUUCUCUCUCACAGUUAACCUUGUGUAAAACACACUUUACAAAGUAAAUAUUUUGAACCACAUUUUUCAGAUAAAGAAGCUGAGACUCAUUAAAAAAAAAAAAAGAGGAAGAAGAAGAAGAAGAAGAAGAAGAAGAAGAAGAAGAAGAAGAAGAAGAAGAAGCUGAGACUCAGAGAGUUAAGUAGCUUUCAGGCCUCUUGACUGGUAAAUAGAGGAGCCAAGAUUUUAACAUAAGCCUACUGGAUCCUGAAGCUUGUGGGUUUUCCAACAGGGCAAACCACUAUCUUGAAAUUUAUAUUAUGUUUCCUGACUUCAGGAUUUUCAGUUCAAAUUUUUCCUUUAAUGGUGGGUGGUUAAACCAGAAUAUUUUAUACCAGCAAUUAUAUUUACCAACUGUUUUCAUGAAAGAUCUUUAAAUAUUAUUGGUAGUUCUGACAUGGUGAAAGUCAUCAUAACGUGUUUUCUCUAACUUUGGCUCCGAAUAUGGAGUCAGUGGCAGUCUAAAAUGUUGCUGUAACUCAGUUCAGAACUCCCCAAGAAUCCUCCCCUUGCGGCCAAAGAAAGCAGCCUAAUGUACACAUGAGAACUUCCCUGAGGCCAGUGUGUAAUUACCUGUUACCUCUUUCACAAGAUGGGAGCCAUGCCACCAACCCCUCCCCAGGAUGUGUGGGCACAACAAGAAUUAAGGCCUAACUCUCCUCAGUGGCAAAUGGCAUUUAAAGCAAAUAUACGAAUGCACAUGUGUGCCAUAAUAGGAAGGCUCCCUAGAAGAACAUUAUUUGAGAAGGAAAGGAGACAUUAUUUAUAGCUUUAAAACGCAGACUGUUCAAAACUGGAAAAUAAAAUACUUCUUUCAACACUACUGAUGUGUUUUUUGGUAUCUAUCUUUAGUGUACAUCUAUGGGUCUUUGUGAGGCCCUAUGGUACUCCCUCAUGAUUCAUGAACUACAAGUCACCAUCACAAUUUCCAAGUAGUUGGGAAGCAUUUAAUCCCCAGACAUAGCGAUUUUCUCAUUUAGCAAGAGAAUGGAAGGAAGUGGGAAAGUUUGGCUGAGGGCAGAAGUCUAAGAAUGUCCCAGCAUACACAGGCUUCAGAGAAGUCUGCUUGAAGGAGAUGUUGGAAAGCAUGGCUUGCUCUACCUCAGCCAAUCACAGUUUCCAACAUAGCUUCCAAAAAUCUAUCUGGUGUGUUUUCUGGCAGAUGUCCUUCUAAGUUAUUGGAUUCUAGCACACUCAGGUCAAAUAUCAGUGUGUGUCCUUAUAACUGAGUCACCACCUCACAGACUCCCAAAAUCUCAAGUCUCCUCUUACUGUGUCAUUGUGUGGGGACAGCCUUCUGUGAGUUCAGGGGAAGGCUACCUUCCCCUAGCAUGCCCCAUCCCCAUAGCAAACUUGCUUCUUCACACACGUGUAGGACUACAGACAUUUGCUUGCUAGUGACAGCUCUUACCCAUGUUGAUUUAUUUUGGAGAAAUAUCAUUUCUAAGUCAUCAAAAAAAGAAAGAAAGAAAGAAAGAAAGAAAGAAAGAAAGA